rnacentral:rRNA from 1 species
UUAGACAAUGGGGGCAACCCUGAUCUAGCCAUGCCGCGUGUGUGAUGAAGGCCCUAKGGUCGUAAAGCACUUUCGCCAGAGAUGAUAAUGACAGUAUCUGGUAAAGAAACCCCGGCUAACUCCGUGCCAGCAGCCGCGGUNANUACGGAGGGGGUUAGCGUUGUUCGGAAUUACUGGGCGUAAAGCGCACGUAGGCGGAUUAGUAAGUUAGAGGUGAAAUCCCAGGGCUCAACCCUGGAACUGCCUUUAAUACUGCUAGUCUUGAGUUCGAGAGAGGUAAGUGGAAUUCCGAGUGUAKAGGUGAAAUUCGUAGAUAUUCGGAGGAACACCAGUGGCKAAGGCGGCUUACUGGCUCGAUACUGACGCUGAGGUGCGAAAGUGUGGGGAGCAAACAGGAUUAGAUACCCUGGUAGUCCACACCGUAAACGAUGAAUGCCAGACGUCAGCAAGUAUACUUGUUGGUGUCACACCUAACGGAUUAAGCAUUCCGCCUGGGGAGUACGGU